UACAGAGGGUGCGAGCGUUAAUCGGAAUUACUGGGCGUAAAGCGUGCGUAGGCGGUUAUGUAAGUCAGAUGUGAAAGCCCCGGGCUCAACCUGGGAAUUGCAUUUGAGACUGUGUAGCUAGGGUGCGGAAGAGGGAAGUGGAAUUUCAGGUGUAGCGGUGAAAUGCGUAGAUAUCUGAAGGAACAUCAGUGGCGAAAGCGACUUCCUGGACCAAUACUGACGCUCAUGUGCGAAAGCGUGGGGAGCAAACAGG
rnacentral:rRNA from 1 species